CCCUUAGAUGUUCUGGGCCGCACGCGCGCUACACUGACUGGAUCAACGAGUUGUCCACCUUGGCUGAAGAGUCCGGGUAAUCUUGUAAAAUCCAGUCGUGAUGGGGAUAGAUUAUUGCAAUUAUUAAUCUUCAACGAGGAAUUCCUAGUAAGGGUGGUUCAACAGACCGCCCUGAUUACGUCCCUGCCCCUUGUACACACCGCCCGUCGCACCUACCGAUUGAAUGGUCCGGUGAAGCCUCCGGAUUGGCGCGCACCUCGGUGCCGCCGAGAAGUUGGCUAAACCUUACCAUUUAGAGGAAGGUGAAGUCGUAACA
rnacentral:rRNA from 1 species